rnacentral:rRNA from 1 species
GACAGAGGGGGCAAGCGUUGCUCGGAAUCACUGGGCGUAAAGGGUGCGUAGGCGGCUUCUUAAGUCUGGUGUGAAAGCCCAGGGCUCAGCUCUGGAAGUGCACUAGAAACUGGGAAGCUUGAGUACCGGAGGGGAGAGUGGAAUUCCUGGUGUAGCGGUGAAAUGCGUAGAUAUCAGGAGGAAUACCGGUGGCGAAAGCGACUCUCUGGACGGUUACUGACGCUGAGGCACGAAAGCGUGGGGAGCAAACAGG